rnacentral:rRNA from 1 species
GACGAACGCUGGCGGCGUGCUUAACACAUGCAAGUCGAACGGAAAGGCCCUGCUUUUGUGGGGUGCUCGAGUGGCGAACGGGUGAGUAACACGUGAGUAACCUGCCCUUGACUUUGGGAUAACUUCAGGAAACUGGGGCUAAUACCGGAUAGGAGCUCCUGCUGCAUGGUGGGGGUUGGAAAGUUUCGGCGGUUGGGGAUGGACUCGCGGCUUAUCAGCUUGUUGGUGGGGUAGUGGCUUACCAAGGCUUUGACGGGUAGCCGGCCUGAGAGGGUGACCGGCCACAUUGGGCCUGAGAUACGACCCAGACUCCUACGGGAGGCAGCAGUGGGGAAUAUUGCACAAUGGGCGGAAGCCUGAUGCAGCAACGCCGCGUGCGGGAUGACGGCCUGCGGGUUGUAAACCGCUUUCGCCUGUGACGAAGCGUGAGUGACGGUAAUGGGUAAAGAAGCACCGGCUAACUACGUG